UUACGGCCACAUCACGUUAAAACACCAGUUCCCGUAAGAUCACCGAUGUUAAGCAAGGUUGAACCUAGUCAGUACCUAGAUGGGUGACCGCCUGAAAAUAACAGGU